UACGUAGGGUGCAAGCGUUGUCCGGAAUUAUUGGGCGUAAAGAGCUCGUAGGUGGUUUGUCGCGUUGUCCGUGAAAACUCACAGCUCAACUGUGGGCGUGCGGGCGAUACGGGGCAGACUGGAGUACUGCAGGGGAGACUGGAAUUCCUGGUGUAGCGGUGGAAUGCGCAGAUAUCAGGAGGAACACCGGUGGCGAAGGCGGGUCUCUGGGCAGUAACUGACGCUGAGGAGCGAAAAGCGUGGGGGAGCGAACAGG
rnacentral:rRNA from 1 species